CGAGCCUGAUGCAGCCAUGCCGCGUGUAUGAAGAAGGCCUUCGGGUUGUAAAGUACUUUCAGCGGGGAGGAAGGUGUUGAGGUUAAUAACCUCAGCAAUUGACGUUACCCGCAGAAGAAGCACCGGCUAACUCCGUGCCAGCAGCCGCGGUAAUGA
rnacentral:rRNA from 1 species